UACGGAGGAUGCGAGCGUUAUCCGGAUUCAUUGGGUUUAAAGGGUGCGUAGGCGGUUUCUUAAGUCAGUGGUGAAAUCCUGCGGCUCAACCGUAGAACUGCCAUUGAAACUGGGAAGCUUGAAUACAGAUGAGGUAGGCGGAAUGAGUAGUGUAGCGGUGAAAUGCAUAGAUAUUACUCAGAACACCAAUUGCGUAGGCAGCUUACUAAACUGAUAUUGACGCUGAGGCACGAAAGCGUGGGGAGCGAACAGG
rnacentral:rRNA from 1 species